CAGCAGCCACGGUAAUACGAAGGGGGCUAGCGUUGCUCGGAAUCACUGGGCGUAAAGGGUGCGUAGGCGGGUCUUUAAGUCAGGGGUGAAAUCCUGGAGCUCAACUCCAGAACUGCCUUUGAUACUGAAGAUCUUGAGUUCGGGAGAGGUGAGUGGAACUGCGAGUGUAGAGGUGAAAUUCGUAGAUAUUCGCAAGAACACCAGUGGCGAAGGCGGCUCACUGGCCCGAUACUGACGCUGAGGCACGAAAGCGUGGGGAGCAAACAGGAUUAGAUACCCCAGUAGUCCCUGUCUCUUAUAC
rnacentral:rRNA from 1 species